rnacentral:rRNA from 1 species
CACGUGAGCAACCUGCCCCUGGCUCUGGGAUAGCCUCCGGAAACGGGGAUUAAUACCGGACAUGACCUUCUCCUGCAUGGGGGAGGGUGGAAAGUUUUUCGGCCAGGGAGGGGCUCGCGGCCUAUCAGCUUGUUGGAGGGGUAACGGCCCACCAAGGCGACGACGGGUAGCCGGCCUGAGAGGGCGACCGGCCACACUGGGACUGAGACACGGCCCAGACUCCUACGGGAGGCAGCAGUGGGGAAUAUUGCGCAAUGGGGGAAACCCUGACGCAGCGACGCCGCGUGCGGGAUGAAGGCC